CCCAGACUCCUACGGGAGGCAGCAGUGAGGAAUAUUGGUCAAUGGCCGAGAGGCUGAACCAGCCAAGUCGCGUGAGGGAUGACGGCCCUACGGGUUGUAAACCUCUUUUGCCGGGGAGCAAAGAGCGGGACGCGUCCCGCCUCGAGAGUACCCGGAGAAAAAGCAUCGGCUAACUCCGUGCCAGCAGCCGCGGUAAUACGGAGGAUGCGAGCGUUAUCCGGAUUUAUUGGGUUUAAAGGGUGCGUAGGCGGAGUGUCAAGUCAGCGGUAAAAUUUCGGGGCUCAACCCCGUCGUGCCGUUGAAACUGACGCCCUUGAGUGAGUGAGAAGUAAGCGGAAUGCGUGGUGUAGCGGUGAAAUGCAUAGAUAUCACGCAGAACUCCGAUUGCGAAGGCAGCAUACCGGCGCGCAACUGACGCUCAUGCACGAAAGCGUGGGUAUCGAACAGGAUUAGAUACCCGGGUAUA
rnacentral:rRNA from 1 species